rnacentral:rRNA from 1 species
UACGUAGGGAGCAAGCGUUGUCCGGAAUCAUUGGGCGUAAAGCGCGUGUAGGCGGCUUGGUAAGUCUGCUCUGAAAGCCCGGGGCUCAACCCCGGGAGGCGGGUGGAUACUGCUGAGCUCGAGUCCGGAAGAGGCGAGUGGAAUUCCUGGUGUAGCGGUGAAAUGCGCAGAUAUCAGGAGGAACACCAAUGGCGAAGGCAGCUCGCUGGGACGGUACUGACGCUGAGACGCGAAAGCCAGGGGAGCAAACGGG